UACGUAGGGUGCAAGCGUUAAUCGGAAUUACUGGGCGUAAAGCGUGCGCAGGCGGUUUCGUAAGUCUGUCGUGAAAUCCCCGGGCUUAACCUGGGAAUGGCGAUGGAGACUGCGAGGCUAGAGUUUGGCAGAGGGGGGUAGAAUUCCACGUGUAGCAGUGAAAUGCGUAGAGAUGUGGAGGAACACCGAUGGCGAAGGCAAUCCCCUGGGCCUGCACUGACGCUCAUGCACGAAAGCGUGGGGAGCAAACAGG
rnacentral:rRNA from 1 species